CAGCCGCCGCGGUAAUACGUAGGUCCCGAGCGUUGUCCGGAUUUAUUGGGCGUAAAGGGAGCGCAGGCGGUUUAGUAAGUCUGAAGUUAAAGGCAUUGGCUCAACCAAUGUAUGCUUUGGAAACUGUUUAACUUGAGUGCAGAAGGGGAGAGUGGAAUUCCAUGUGUAGCGGUGAAAUGCGUAGAUAUAUGGAGGAACACCGGUGGCGAAAGCGGCUCUCUGGUCUGUAACUGACGCUGAGGCUCGAAAGCGUGGGGAGCAAACAGGAUUAGAUACCCCCGUAGUCCCUGUCUCUUAUACA
rnacentral:rRNA from 1 species